rnacentral:rRNA from 1 species
AGCGAACGCUGGCGGCAGGCCUAACACAUGCAAGUCGAACGAACCCUUCGGGGUUAGUGGCGGACGGGUGAGUAACACGUGGGAACGUGCCCUUUGGUUCGGAACAACUCAGGGAAACUUGAGCUAAUACCGAAUGUGCCCUUCGGGGGAAAGAUUUAUCGCCUUUAGAGCGGCCCGCGUCUGAUUAGCUAGUUGGUGAGGUAAUGGCUCACCAAGGCUACGAUCAGUAGCUGGUCUGAGAGGAUGACCAGCCACAUUGGGACUGAGACACGGCCCAAACUCCUACGGGAGGCAGCAGUGGGGAAUCUUGCGCAAUGGGCGAAAGCCUGACGCAGCCAUGCCGCGUGGAUGAUGAAGGUCUUAGGAUUGUAAAAUCCUUUCACCGGUGAAGAUAAUGACUGUAGCCGGAGAAGAAGCCCCGGCUAACUUCGUGCCAGCCGCCGCAGUAAGAC